rnacentral:rRNA from 1 species
ACGCGAAGAACCUUACCUGGGCUUGAACCGCUACUGACCACGGUAGAAAUAUCGUCUUCCCGCAAGGGACAGUAGUAGAGGUGCUGCAUGGCUGUCGUCAGCUCGUGCCGUGAGGUGUUGGGUUAAGUCCCGCAACGAGCGCAACCCUCAUUCGUAGUUGCCACCCGCAAGGGGGAACUCUACGAGGACUGCUCCGGAUAACGGAGAGGAAGGUGGGGAUGACGUCAAGUCAGCACGGCCUUUAUGUCCAGGGCUACACACGUGUUACAAUGCGCGGUACAGACUGUUGCGAACCCGCGAGGGGGAGCUAAUCGGACAAAACCGCGCUCAGUUCGGAUUGCAGUCUGCAACUCGACUGCAUGAAGCUGGAAUCGCUAGUAAUGGCGUAUCAGAUCGACGCCGUGAAUACGUUCCCGGGUCUUGUACACACCG